GGGGAAUAUUGCACAAUGGGGGAAACCCUGAUGCAGCAACGCCGCGUGAAGGAAGACGGUUUUCGGAUUGUAAACUUCUGUUCUUAGUGAAGAAUAAUGACGGUAGCUAAGGAGCAAGCCACGGCUAACUACGUGCCAGCAGCCGCGGUAAUACGUAGGUGGCAAGCGUUGUCCGGAAUUACUGGGUGUAAAGGGAGCGCAGGCGGGAAGACAAGUUGGAAGUGAAAACCAUGGGCUCAACCCAUGAAUUGCUUUCAAAACUGUUUUUCUUGAGUAGUGCAGAGGUAGAUGGAAUUCCCGGUGUAGCGGUGGAAUGCGUAGAUAUCGGGAGGAACACCAGUGGCGAAGGCGGCCUACUGGGCACCAACUGACGCUGACGCUCGAAAGUGUGGGUAGCAAACAGGAUUAGAUACCCUGGUAGUCCACACCGUAAACGAUGAUUACUAGGUGUUGGAGGAUUGACCCCUUCAGUGCCGCAGUUAACACAAUAAGUAAUCCACCUGGGGAGUACGACCGCAAGGUUGAAACUCAAAGGAAUUGACGGGGGCCCGCACAAGCAGUGGAGUAUGUGGUUUAAUUCGACGCAACGCGAAGAACCUUACCAAGUCUUGACAUCCUGCGACGGUGCUGGAAACAGUAUCUUCCUUCGGGACGCAGAGACAGGUGGUGCAUGGUUGUCGUCAGCUCGUGUCGUGAGAUGUUGGGUUAAGUCCCGCAACGAGCGCAACCCUUGUUACUAGUUGCUACGCAAGAGCACUCUAGUGAGACUGCCGGUGACAAACCGGAGGAAGGUGGGGAUGACGUCAAGUCCUCAUGGCCCUUAUGGCUAGGGCCUCACACGUCAUACAAUGGUCGGAACAGAGGGCAGGGAAGCCGCGAGGUGGAGCAAAUCCCAGAAAACCGAUCGUAGUCCGGAUUGCAGUCUGCAACUCGACUGCAUGAAGUCGGAAUCGCUAGUAAUCGCGGAUCAGCAUGCCGCGGUGAAUACGUUCCCG
rnacentral:rRNA from 1 species